rnacentral:rRNA from 1 species
AACGAACGCUGGCGGCAGGCUUAACACAUGCAAGUCGAACGGACGUAGCAAUACGUUAGUGGCGCACGGGUGAGUAACACGUGGAUAUCUGCCUUUUGGUUCGGGAUAACCCUGGGAACUAGGGCUAAUACCGAAUGGUUCCUACGGGAUAAAGAUUUAUCGCCAAAGAUGAGUCCGCGUCCGAUUAGCUAGUUGGUGAGGUAAUGGCUCACCAAGGCGACGAUCGGUAGCUGGUCNGAGAGGACGAUCAGCCACACUGGGACUGAGACACGGCCCAGACUCCUACAGGA